CUAGCCCUCUGCGGCCUGCGGGAGGACGGUGGUGCUUUCCGGCCUAGCGGCGGAAAUGCGACAGUCUCUAAGGGAGGAGGCCGGAGCGCCUCCCUGUAAUCCCGAAGGAAUUGAAAACUAACAAAGAAAAGGAAAUCACGGGCUAGGUCGCGAGUAUCUCGUUGUCACCCUGAAUUUGCUACUGCGUAUUGAAUCACAGCUUCUUGUUUGGGGACUGCGAAGCUAUGGAUCAUAGGAGGGCAAGCCAGCAGUCCUUUAUCAGACAAAUAUGCUUUUAAAUCAUUUUAAAGAUUUGUAGUUCCACUGUUUCUAAGCACUGUGUUAAUUAUUGGGGAUACUGUGCUUCAUCACAAAUUUCCAAGAGAUGGUGUCCCGAGACUAAGCAUUUAAAAUUUUGUGAAGGU
rnacentral:lncRNA from 10 species